rnacentral:rRNA from 1 species
GGACGGGUGAGUAAUGUCUGGGAAACUGCCUGAUGGAGGGGGAUAACUACUGGAAACGGUAGCUAAUACCGCAUGACGUCUUCGGACCAAAGUGGGGGACCUUCGGGCCUCACGCCAUCAGAUGUGCCCAGAUGGGAUUAGCUAGUAGGUGGGGUAAUGGCUCACCUAGGCGACGAUCUCUAGCUGGUCUGAGAGGAUGACCAGCCACACUGGAACUGAGACACGGUCCAGACUCCUACGGGAGGCAGCAGUGGGGAAUAUUGCACAAUGGGCGCAAGCCUGAUGCAGCCAUGCCGCGUGUAUGAAGAAGGCCUUCGGGUUGUAAAGUACUUUCAGCGAGGAGGAAGGCAUUAAGGUUAAUAACCUUGGUGAUUGACGUUACUCGCAGAAGAAGCACCGGCUAACUCCGUGCCAGCAGCCGCGGUAAUACGGAGGGUGCAAGCGUUAAUCGGAAUUACUGGGCGUAAAGCGCACGCAGGCGGUUGAUUAAGUCAGAUGUGAAAUCCCCGAGCUUAACUUGGGAACUGCAUUUGAAACUGGUCAGCUAGAGUCUUGUAGAGGGGGGUAGAAUUCCAGGUGUAGCGGUGAAAUGCGUAGAGAUCUGGAGGAAUACCGGUGGCGAAGGCGGCCCCCUGGACAAAGACUGACGCUCAGGUGCGAAAGCGUGGGAGCAAACAGGAUUAGAUACCCUGGUAGUCCACGCUGUAAACGAUGUCGACUUGGAGGUUGUGCCCUUGAGGCGUGGCUUCCGGAGCUAACGCGUUAAGUCGACCGCCUGGGGAGUACGGCCGCAAGGUUAAAACUCAAAUGAAUUGACGGGGGCCCGCACAAGCGGUGGAGCAUGUGGUUUAAUUCGAUGCAACGCGAAGAACCUUACCUACUCUUGACAUCCAGAGAAUUUGCUAGAGAUAGCUUAGUGCCUUCGGGAACUCUGAGACAGGUGCUGCAUGGCUGUCGUCAGCUCGUGUUGUGAAAUGUUGGGUUAAGUCCCGCAACGAGCGCAACCCUUAUCCUUUGUUGCCAGCACGUAAUGGUGGGAACUCAAAGGAGACUGCCGGUGAUAAACCGGAGGAAGGUGGGGAUGACGUCAAGUCAUCAUGGCCCUUACGAGUAGGGCUACACACGUGCUACAAUGGCAUAUACAAAGAGAAGCGAACUCGCGAGAGCAAGCGGACCUCAUAAAGUAUGUCGUAGUCCGGAUUGGAGUCUGCAACUCGACUCCAUGAAGUCGGAAUCGCUAGUAAUCGUAGAUCAGAAUGCUACGGUGAAUACGUUCCCGGGCCUUGUACACACCGCCCGUCACACCAUGGGAGUGGGUUGCAAAAGAAGUAGGUAGCUUAACCU